AGAGCUCUCCUUGGGGGUGGAUGACAGAAUGAACAUUUACUCUGGGCUCACUGGAAAAGCUCCAACGUCUUGGAAAUUGAGUGGGUAAGCACAACCUUGAGCACAUUGUCAGCAUUCCAUUUCUUUUUUGAAUAAGAAUAUGCAGUUUUACCAAUAUCAUUGGUUCAAGAGGCUUUCCUUUCCCAGUUGUGUAUUCUUGGCACCUUUGUUGAAGAUCACUUGACUGUGUAUGUGUGCAUUUAGUUCUGGGCUCUCUUUUCUCUCCCAGGGGUUCUAAUGGGUGCCCUUAUGCUAGGACCAUGCUGUCUAAAUUUCUGUGGCUUUGUUGUAAAUUUGAAUCUUAUGAAUGUCUGUCCUCCAACACUAUUCUUUUUCAUGUUAUCAUGGCUAUUUGAGGCCAUGGGAAAAUUCAUAAAAAUAAUUUUAGGAUUAGCUUUUCCAUUUCUGCACACAUGGCCAUUACCAGUUCGAUAAUAGUUGUUUUGAGUCUGUAGAUCAUUUGUGUAAUAUUGUGUAUUAGUAAGAUUUAGACUUCCUAUCCAUGAAUACAGGAUGCCUUUUCACUUAUUUUUACCUUCUUUGCUUUCUUUCAGUAGUCUUUCUUUCUAAUCACUCUACAAGUAUUUCACCUCCUUGGUUAGGUUUAUUCCUAAGUAUUUAGUUAUUUUAGAUGUUAUUAUAAGUGGGAUUACAUUUGUCAUCUUCUUGUUGGAUCAUUCACUGUUGGUUUGUAUUAACAAACCAAUCAUUUGAAUAUUGGCCUUGUACCCUGCAACUUUGAUGUAAUUAUUAACACUAAUAGCAUUCUUGGAGAUUAUUUCUGAUUUUCUAUAUGUAGAAUGAUAGAGAAGUUCUGUUUCACACCUAUUUUCUCAAGAUAGUCUAUAUUGAUACUGUAAAGAUAUGUUCAUAUUCACCUACUGAAUGAUGUCCUUCCAAAAGGCCUUGUUAGAUUAUUCAAAAAAUAUUUUGUCAUUACAUUCCACAAUUUAAUAAAAAAUAGUAAUUCAUUGUC
rnacentral:lncRNA from 1 species